AAUCUCCAGUUAUGCUUAGAGUUGUAAGAAAGUGAAAACAAAUUUAAUUAUGCAAGGUCCCAGUUGUGCCAAAGGUGUUAUAAAGAAUAUCUUUAUGGGGACAUUCAGUGUAACAAAUUGGUUCAUGUUAUUAUUAGUGUGCUCGGUUGUGCAUUUUCUUUAUAUCAGUUUAAAGUUUAAUGAUGGUGCUUGUAGAGCUAAUUACCAAGGAUCUGCACAGCACUCGUUGGGAUAGUCACCCAAAAGCCUUACAUUUUUGCAAUGCUAAGUUAUCAAUACCUCCAAAGUAUCUUUGACUAAAUUCUUUGUGUUCAGAUAUGUACAAACAGGCACCUAAAAGUGGAAUAUCUGCGAUCGUGUCCCCGGUUCCCCUGAAGCAUAAACAGCAAGUGUUCCUUCAUUCCUGCAUGCCAGCAGAGGAUUGCUGGCCAGCACCAGGAUUUACUACACUGCACUGGGAGAUUCUCAGUGAAGGGCUGGUUAUCUUGGGUGAUAGGAAUGUUCCAAAGGCUGGGAGCAGGGAAACGUGGGCAAGGAAGGCAAACAGUAGCCAUACAUGUUCCCUGACAACAACAGUUGCGUAGGCGUGCUGAGAAGGAAUGCUAACUCUUCAUAGUAAAAAUGAAAAUCUUAAUACACAGCAAGAAUAUCAUGCAUCUCCUGCCUGAGGAAAAGGAUUUGGGCUGGGCAACCCAGAUCGUGAACCGAGGGCUUUUCCAGUAGCACUCGCUGUGUCCUGCCUGACCUGGGAAGUCAUGGUCUCCCAUGGUGAAAACAGAUUUGAGGUACCAGUGUAGUCACGUAGGAGCACUGGUCAUGAGAAAAAUGCUGUGACAUUAGAAGGAUGCGGGAAGAUUUGAUGCAAAAAAACCCCCCUGUUAUUUUUGGAAUUGAUGGAGAAGUCAGGUAUGGUUUCUGGAUGAGGCUGUGCUGUCUAAACCAUUUUCCCAUUCUUUUCUGGCAGCUCUGUUCCCCACUGCAGCCUCUCUGGAGGUGAUGCUAACAACAUGGAUAAAUGAAGCUUUCAAAUGUGUGCAAGUCUUCCCACUAGUUUUGUGAGGCCCUGUGAGGGCAAGUCUUUUCUUCUCUGUUACAGGAGCUUUUCUUUCCAAGAGCACGAUGUGAUUCUCAGCCCCGAAGAUUGCUUUCCUGCCAAUAACGAUCCCUGUAGGCCACCACCAGACUGUUUUGCCUUUAACCCCUCCUGGCCUGAAACACUUGGACCCACUCUCUUCUUCCCCACCCACCUUGAAGAUAAUCACAAGGCAACCAUCUCUCUUCCUCCCACUCCUCCUCCGCUUUGCAGGAUCACAAUGAAGGGCUAGUCUUGGGAGCUGACUGUGGGACUGACCCUUGAUUAAUGGCAGGAGGGGGCUGGCAGGAGCAACAGGCAGCACUGUGUGCCAUGGCCAGGGAGGGAUUUAUCCCACUCAUCUGACACAUGGCACUUAGCUCUUCUGCAGUGUUGUGGGUAUGGAGCCAGGGCUGCAAGCCUUGGCUUUCAGUACCUCUGAUCUCCAGGAGUGGCCUGUAUUUCAAACAUACCUUAAAAGAGAAAGGAGUGUAUCUCAGCCUUGAAUGUCAUGUUCCUGGGCUUUACACUCAAGUAUGUGGGGGGAGGCAAGUGAGAGAAAAGCAGCAAAGCACAGCAUGAGUAUUUCUCCCAGCAGAUCUGCAGGCACUGUUAUAAAAAAAGGGGUUGUUCCUGCCACUGACAGGAACGUGGGAUGGGGUAGGAUUCACUUCUCACCACCUCAGAAACCUGUGAUGGUUUCAUCAUCACAGCUGCAAACAUCUGCAGCUGAACUGGGCACUCCAGGCUUCCCUUAUUAGUUAAUGGAGAUGAUUAGCUAUUUUUAGGCAUGACUCACCUGUCCUGUUUUAGCUCUCUAUUUUAGUGCAUGAUGAAUUGUGUCAUGUCCAUUAACAAUUCAGGAGAGAGUCUAAUCCAAGCAGCUCAUAUGUGGACCUCUUAACAGAUUUAUUUGGAUGAGUUCUACACCUGUCUGUGUAGGUUCUUAAAGCACUGGGUGUCUUCCAAGGCCAAAAUGGAGGCAGACAGUGAGAGAGACAGUGCAGAAAGCUCUUUUGCUGUCUUUGCCCAGAAAGCAGCAUCUUUUCAGGUGUGACUUUGGCAGCCAAACAGUUGUGCUUGUGGUCAUUUUGUGCUGUCAGAAGUAUCACUGGUCCUUGUCUAUAAGCAUUGUGGUCUCCAUCUGUACAAGCUCCCUCUAGCCAGAAGAAGAAAAGGAAUUUUAGUUACCCUCCCUCUCAAAAAGCUGCUGUUUUGUUGACAGAUUCCUCCCUCUCCUUUGCCCUCUUCCUGCCCUCCUUUCCCUUGUGGCCCUCUGUCUCGACCCCUCUUGAUGCAGCCAGACCUGCCAGUUCUCUGUAGCUCCUCCAAGGUUGCUGAUCUUCCUUACCUUUUGCUGAAACUAAGCAGAGAGGCAUAGAGGCUGCUAUCAGCUGCUACACCUCAAAAGUGCUCUACUGUGAGACCUGCAAUGACAGGCCCCUACACGUGACCCACACCCCUCUGCUCCUGCAUGGUACAGAGAGCUUGCUGUGGGUUGGAAGAGGCAGCAGGAGGGAAUACUGGGCAUUUCUAAGCUGAUGAAAACAGCAGGAAUUCCCAAGUGGUGGCCCAUGUGCAGGGACCAGGUGUAGGCAGCAAAGAUGUCCGUAGGGAUGAAGUACAAAAAUGAUGAAAGACUGCUUUGUCUUCCACACCAUUUUUCUGCGGCUGACGUGGGACCGUGGUGUUUUCCAUGGGAAUGGAAUUCCUGUAUAGCACAUCUCUCAGCUUCUGGCUGCUCAGUGAACUGCACAAGCUCUUUGAUGACACCACAUGCCAUGCACUGUGAGUGGUCUCUGGCUGCCCAUACCCUGCCUGGCAAAGUACCAAACAGCCCAGCUGUCCCAGCAGUGAGGUCUCUCACAGUGGUGGUGUCCAUUAUGAUACCCUCAGGGCAAGUUGGCUGUAGAGGUGGGUUAUAUGGAGACUGAAGAGUGAGGCAUUUGUGAUAAAUUUGGGUGUCUAAUGGAACCAGAAUUGAACUUCUCAUUUCCAAGCCUGAAUGUUGCUGCAUCUCUUCCUUCCCUUGCUUUUUAAUCUGAAGGAUUUAGCUUCAACUUGUUUCAUCCCUUAUUACACCAUAUCCUUAUCAGUGGUCUAAAACUCUGCUGGAUAUUUAUUUUAAUCUCAGUUCUGACCUGAGUGUCCAUACCAGCUGUCUAAUGAUGGUACAGUCAUGAGCUCCAAGAUCUGCCAUCCCUAAGCUCAGUCUGAAUCUAGUACCUGUUCUCAACUGGAAUAUCUGUGUACCCCUACACAUUUCCAUUUGCUAUCUUCCCAGCUAACACAGUGAAUCCUGGCUGGACUGAGGUCACUGAAUAAUGCUUUGUUCUGCUCACCAUUUGCAUUUCAUUUCCAGGCCAUCAUUCCAAGAUAGAUGAAGAACUUGACCUGUGAUGGAUUGUAGAGGCUUUGGAUAAAGGGCGAACAUUGAUCUUCAUGGAUAGGAUUUCUUCUCUAUAGAAGUGCAGAUGUCCAAGGAUGUGAAUGUGCUGGCCCAAAGUGGAAGAGGAGGUGGAGGACCUUGGAUUCCAGGGAGAGAAGCUGGAGAACAGUGCAGAAAGAAGGAAGCUGUGAAGGAAAUCGGAGGCAAGCAGAAGACAGACCUUCAUUCUCAUUGCUGCAGCCGCUCCUGCCUUGAGGCAGUGAAAGGAACUCCUGUUUGCUCUGCACUGAUACACAAUUUCACUGGAACUGAGUCAUAUCCGAUGUAUCUGCUAAACCCUGGCUGAAGACAAGAUCAUCUCAACACAGCAAGGUUUGGCUUUCUUUUUCAUGGUUGAAAAAUGUGUUUUGAAUUCUGUGCUACAGAGAAGAUCUAGCAACAAAAUGUGUGUCUGAGCUGUAAUGGCAGCUGCUGUUGCAGCUUCAUAUGAGUUCCAUCCAAUGAAGUUUGCACUCAGAGGAAAUUAUCAGUAAUCUGUAACACUCUUGAUUUGCUGUUGGCUUUGCCUCGGUUCCUACACUGAUGAAAGUGCAUUUUAAGUUGAAUUUUUCAGGUCCUCUGUAUGUAGUAUUACACAGAUUGGAAAUAUCUGCCAUGUUUUCCCCUGUUUAGAAUACAACCAUUUAUGACACCUGUACAGUGUCUCAUGUUCUUAUUUGCACAGUAGACAACGAAGUUUAGAAAGCAUAGUUUGUUAAACAGAGCAUGGUUAAGGAGAGAUGGCUGGGAAAAAGCGUCCUUCCUAAGAUUAUAAGUGUUAAUUCCUAUCUGUUUUUCCUGACCUUACUCUCAUUAUUUUAAGAAAAUAUCAAGCAUUUGCUUUCACAUCAUAUUGCAGUUGAAAAUACAGUGUUAAAAUUGUGUUGGAUGACCAGAAGGGGUGGCCUCAUGAAGGUAAUUGAUGGCAGCAGCUGGAGAGAUAGUGAACAUGUCUGUGAGGUUUGAAAUAAAUAACAAUGGUAUAAAAUAAGUUUUGUGAUUUUUUUAAUCAUGCCUUUGACACUGUCCCCAGCACUAAAUCUUCUUUAUGCCUUUGUAUAAUGCUCAGCAGAGACUCUUGUUGUAAAUGAAUCACUGAUUUGGCAACCUCAGCUGACACUCCAAAGAGUUGAGGACUGGUUCAUCUCAGAUGACCACAAGCUGAAAUUUUGGGAUAAAUUUGACCUUCUAUCUGUUAAGUGGUGACCUCAGGUAAGCCCAUGAGAUAAUUGAUGACCUUGAAUCACCCCAAGCUGAAAUUUUGGGAUAAAGUUGAUCUCUGGUAGCCUCAUGUGAUAAUUAGUGAUCUUGGAUGGCCAUGAGCCAAAAUUUUGGGAUACAGAUCAUCUCUAGUAACCCCAUAUGAUAAUUGGUGAUCUCAGAUGACCCCAAGCUGAAAUUUUGGGGUAAAGCUGACCUCCAGUAAGCCCAUCUAUUAACUGACAACCUCAAGUAACUCCACGUGCUAAUUAGUGACCUCGGAUGACCACGAAAUUUUGGGGUAAAGGUGACACCUCUAGUAACUCCAUCUGUUAAUUGGUGAUCUCAAGGAACUCUGUGUGCUAAUUGAUGACCUCAGAUGAUGCCCAUGUUCUAACUGAUGACCUCUUCUGCCCCCAGACACAAUGUUGUGCAUGUCAGCACAUUAACUCCUAGAAGUCAGUUACAGAUGCCCGAGUACCAAAUCUACCUCUACAGGUCAGCUCAGGCCCAUCCUGUCCUGUAUUUCUUUCUCUGAAGUCCCCUGAGAUGUCCCCAUGAGCCCACAGUGUCCCUUGAAGUGACCUGGGGACCAAACAUGCUUCAGGACAUCCACUGAGAUCAUCCUGAGACUUUUGGGCUCCCCCAGGGCUCAAGAAUUAGGCCCUACUGUAAUUUGUCAUCACCCACUUGCUUUCUUGUGAUCAUUUGAGGUCACUUAGGUACCAGUUAUGUUCCUUGGGAUGACCCAAGGUCAGUUCCUGGGCUGCUCUCAGAUGCUCUCCAGCUCCAGUGUCAGUUGAAAGGAGUUGGACUGGCAUGGAACCACUACAAAAUUUGCAUUUCAUACUUGCUCUGAGUGCAGCUUUCAGGCAAGACCCUCUGAGAGGAGCACAUGAAGAGCGAGAAGGGUGACCCCCAUGCAGCUUCCCCUCUCCUUCCCCUGACAGAAAGCACAGUUUAAAAAAAAGGUAAUGUCAAAAAUGGAAAACAAGCAGCAGCCUUCAUUUAUUUCAGGAGAUAAGGGGAAGAGUCAACCUGUUUUCCUUAGAAAACUGUUAUGAAGUAAAAAGAAACAAAACAAAAAGACCAAAACAGUGAGGGGAUUUGAGGGGAUUGGAUGGGGAAAAAGACCACAACACAAAUUACUCCAAGAGAGGAGGAGGGAGACAGGGCUAUAUGAAAGAAAAUCAGACAAUACAGAGUUCAAAUGUGCAGUUCCAAAUGCCCAGCACUAGCUGAAGAAAAAAGACCUCUCCUUCUAGCUUUUCCCUCCUUCCUUUUCUGUGAGCUACAUCCUGCUGGAGCUCAGAGCAUGGAAAGCAUGGAGACAAUGCCUUUGCUGAAGCCCAAGAUGACCCAGCUUCUAUCCAGGUACCAGUACACAUAUGAAGAUGCUUCCCCCUUGUGUUAACUGGUUGAAAAACCGGAAUGAGACCAUAAGCACCAGCAAACCCCCAGGAAGUCCCAGGAGCUGCCCUGCAUGGCAAGGAGCUGGGGCAGCACAGGGCAGGCACGGGGCAAGGCACCCUCCCACACCAUCCACAAGCUCAAAGGAGGCACAACCAUACUAAACACAGUAAACACUGUUGCAGAACCCCUUUAGAUGCCUCUUAAAGGAUGAGUAAACCCAUACCUCGUGCUGACCUGCAACAAAAUCCAAGGCAAAAUCCUGCUCCUUUCAAAUCAAUGUCAAAACACAUAGUGACACUACUGCAACCAGUACAUGACCAUUUUCUAAAAUGCCAUCAUCUUCCAGUGUCAGUCCCCAUGCUAUGUUUAAUAGGUUUGCUCAUCCCUUCAGAAAAAAGCUGUGUUCUGGUGCAACUCCAUCAAAACCAGUGGUCAGAGCAGAGCAUCAGACAGUGUCCACAACUUCAAAUCUGCCAGACACUUCUUCAGAAUGCAAUCUAGAGGAAAGCAAAAUACCAGGCCCUCAGAAUUUGAUAAUAAAACACCCAGGAGAACCAUGCACUUGUGAAAGAAAAAAGCAAUGGAACUGAAACCAAACACCUACUUGGUCAGCAGGAGAUCAGAAGUCCUGUUCAGCUCCCAGCAACCUGCCUGUCAGUCUGGAAUAUUGCUGUAAAAUCUAUGCAGUUAUGCUGCCUUCACAUGGAUACCUCCAGCCAGAUGAAGUUUGUGUGUGUGUGGAAUUUGUGCUGGGGGGGAAUACCUGAAAUACUGCACUCCCAGAACCCUUUCCAGCAGCACAAGUUACUUGUUGCUUGAAUAACAAGCAUCCAUAACUACAUGUCACUUUGAAUUGUCCCAUUGACUCACUGGCACCACACAAUAAAACAGUCCUUUUCCUUCUGGGACUUAGGAGUGCUGCUCUGUCCGUGCCUGCACAGAUGGACACCUAUGUAAGCUGCAAGCUGAAUGAGAGAACAAUGUUCCCUGAUGGUUUGUCUUUAUGCAACAGACAGAGCCAAGGAGAUUAUGUGAACGAUCUACUUUGGUUAAUUCUUCAUCUUAUAGAAAUUUAAUGUUUUAUUAAUUUUAUAAA